rnacentral:lncRNA from 13 species
AUUAUUUUCUACUACAAGUACAUUAAAGUGGCCACACUUAGAACAUUCUUUACAAAUACUGCCACAGCACAAUAUAUAAAGGAAUGCAGUAUUCACUUAGAAAGUUAAUUCUCUACAACUAGAUUUUACAUUGAAUGUAUUCCUAUUUACUUUUUUGCUUGUUUUUACUUUCUAGUCCUCUUGAGGCCUGUCAGCUAUAUGACCUUGGGAGAGUGUGUGGAUUAUUUCUGGCUGAGAGUGGAAGGAGAAAUCGCAUGGGAAAGGAAAUCCUCACACGAAUGUCAGCUGAAUUUUGGAUGAGAUGGGUUUUCUCCAUGUUGUCUAGGUUGGUCUUGACCUCCUGAACUCAAGUGAUCUGCCUGCCUUUGCGUUCCGAAGUGCUGGGCUUACAGGUAUGAGCCACUGUGCCAGGCCCCAGUUUUAGGAUAUGUAUAGUUUACUAUAAUUCAAAGGCAAAGAUAGGAUUUGAAAGAUUUAGGAAGAACUCAUACCAGUUUGGCCUCUGGAAGUGUGAGAGAUGCUUAGGUGGACAUAUGAGAAAACAUGGAAAAGAAUCCAGGCCCUUGGCUUAUCUAGUCUGAUUUAAGUGACUUUAAACAAGGUUUUAGCUUAUUUUUCUGUUUCUUUAUUUGAAAAUAUGUUAUAAGAAUAUCUGUCUUGUUUCUAUUACAUCAUAUUUUGAGGCACACAUGAUAUCAGGGGUUAUUCCUUAGUUUUCAUAUAAUGAAUCCCAUGGGUAGCCUGUAUGGAGUCUAUAAAAUGUCUCUCAGAAUAAAAUUUUUUAAAUAUAAAUACA